rnacentral:rRNA from 1 species
AGAACUUAGCAGAGAUGCUUUGGUGCCUUCGGGAACUCUGAGACAGGUGCUGCAUGGCUGUCGUCAGCUCGUGUUGUGAAAUGUUGGGUUAAGUCCCGCAACGAGCGCAACCCUUAUCCUUUGUUGCCAGCGGUCCGGCCGGGAACUCAAAGGAGACUGCCAGUGAUAAACUGGAGGAAGGUGGGGAUGACGUCAAGUCAUCAUGGCCCUUACGAGUAGGGCUACACACGUGCUACAAUGGCGCAUACAAGAGAAGCGACCUCGCGAGAGCAAGCGGACCUCAUAAAGUGCGUCGUAGUCCGGAUUGGAGUCUGCAACUCGACUCCAUGAAGUCGGAAUCGCUAGUAAUCGUAGAUCAGAAUGCUACGGUGAAUACGUUCCCGGGCCUUGUACACACCGCCCGUCACACCAUGGGAGUGGGUUGCAAAAGAAGUAGGUAGCUUAACCUUCGGGAGGGCGCUUACCACUUUGUGAUUCAUGACUGGGGUGAAGUCGUAACAAGGUAGGCGUAGCGAG